rnacentral:tRNA from 9 species
GCGGGAGUGGUGGAAUUGGUAGACACGCUGGAUUUAGGUUCCAGUGUCGCAAGACGUGAGAGUUCGAGUCUCUCCUUCCGCACCA